GACGAAGGGGGCUAGCGUUGUUCGGAAUUACUGGGCGUAAAGCGCGUGUAGGCGGUUGUCCAAGUCGGGUGUGAAAGCCUUGAGCUCAACUCAAGAAAUGCACUCGGUACUGGGCGACUAGAGGACCGGAGAGGAUAGUGGAAUUCCCAGUGUAGUGGUGAAAUACGUAGAGAUUGGGAAGAACACCAGUGGCGAAGGCGGCUAUCUGGACGGUUUCUGACGCUAAGACGCGAAAGCGUGGGGAGCAAACAGG
rnacentral:rRNA from 1 species